GAGUUUGAUCAUGGCUCAGAUUGAACGCUGGCGGCAUGCCUUACACAUGCAAGUCGAACGGCAGCACGGGAGCUUGCUCCUGGUGGCGAGUGGCGAACGGGUGAGUAAUGCAUCGGAACGUAUCCUGGAGUGGGGGAUAACGUAGCGAAAGUUACGCUAAUACCGCAUACGUCCUACGGGAGAAAGCAGGGGACCUUCGGGCCUUGCGCUAUCAGAUGAGCCUAGGUCGGAUUAGCUAGUUGGUGGGGUAAUGGCUCACCAAGGCGACGAUCCGUAACUGGUCUGAGAGGAUGAUCAGUCACACUGGAACUGAGACACGGUCCAGACUCCUACGGGAGGCAGCAGUGGGGAAUAUUGGACAAUGGGCGAAAGCCUGAUCCAGCCAUGCCGCGUGUGUGAAGAAGGUCUUCGGAUUGUAAAGCACUUUAAGUUGGGAGGAAGGGCAGUAAGUUAAUACCUUGCUGUUUUGACGUUACCGACAGAAUAAGCACCGGCUAACUCUGUGCC
rnacentral:rRNA from 1 species